CAAAAUGUAGCUUAACACAUAAAGCAUCUGGCCUACACCCAGAAGAUUUCCUUAUAAAGAACAUUUUGA
rnacentral:tRNA from 1 species